AGAGUUUGAUCAUGGCUCAGAACGAACGCUGGCGGCGUUAACACAUGCAAGUCGAGUGCGCGCCUGUAGCAAUACAGGUGGCGCACGGGNNNGGGUGCGUAACACGUGGGUAAUCUGCCCUCUGAUGGGGAAUAACUCGCCGAAAGGCGAGCUAAUUCCGCAUAAUAUUCCGAAAACCUCGGUUUUUGGACUGAAAGGCGUAAGUCGUCGGAGGAGGAGCCCGCGCACGAUUAGCUAGUUGGUAGGGUAAUGGCCUACCAAGGCUUUGAUCGUUAGCUGGUCUGAGAGGAUGGCCAGCCACACUGGAACUGAGACACGGUCCAGACUCCUACGGGAGGCAGCAGUGGGGAAUCUUGCACAAUGGGCGAAAGCCUGAUGCAGCGACGCCGCGUGGGGGAUGAAGCUUCUCGGAGUGUAAACCCCUUUCGAUCCGGACGAAUGCCCGCAAGGGAUUGACGGUACGGAUAUAAGAAGCCCCGGCUAACUACGUGCCAGCAGCCGCGGUAAUACGUAGGGGGCCAGCGUUGUUCGGAAUUACUGGGUGUAAAGGGUUCGUAGGCGGUGCGGCAAGUUGGGAGUGAAAUCUCUGGGCUCAACCCAGAGUCGGCUUCCAAAACUGCUGUGCUUGAGUGUGAGAGAGGCUCGUGGAAUUGCAGGUGUAGCGGUGAAAUGCGUAGAUAUCUGCAGGAACACCCGUGGCGAAAGCGGCGAGCUGGAUCACUACUGACGCUGAAGAACGAAAGCUAGGGGAGCAAACAGGAUUAGAUACCCUAGUAGUCC
rnacentral:rRNA from 1 species